GUAACCCCUUUUCAACCUGCCCUGGAGACAUGGACAACCCCGGGAAACUGGGAUUAAUCCGUGAUAGGUCAUCUCAUCUGGAAGGAGAGAUGGCUUAAAGGGGUACGCGGGCUUCUUCUGCGUAUCUGCUCCAGGAUGGGACUGCGUCCGAUCAGGCUGUUGGCGGGGUAAUGGCCCACCAAACCUGUAACCGGUACGGGCCUUGAGAGAGGUGGCCCGGAGAUGGACACUGAGAGAAGGGUCCAGGUCCUACGGGGCGCAGCAGGCGCGAAACCUUCGCAAUGCGCGAAAGCGUGACGAGGUUAAUCCGAGUGGCCCCCGCUGAGGGGGUCUUUUGUCAGCUGUAAAUAGGCAGGCGAAUAAGGGGAGGGCAAGCCUGGUGUCAGCCGCCGCGGUAAUACCAGCUCCUCGAGUGGUCGGGGCGAUUAUUGGGCCUAAAGCAUCCGUAGCCGGUUCCGUAGGUCCUCUGUUAAAUCCAGCCGCUUAACGGUUGACAUGCAGAGGAUACCGCGGGACU
rnacentral:rRNA from 1 species